CAAUGAUAGACUGGACAAAGAAAACGUGGUAAAUAUACACCAUGGAAUACUAUGCAGCCAUAGAAAUGAUGAGUUCGUGUCCUUUGUAGGGACUUGGAUGAAUCUGGAAACCGCCAUUCUCAGCAAACUGACACAAGAACAGAAAGCCAAACACCGUAUGUUCUCACUCAUAGCCACAUGCAACAAAGAGACUAAAGAAUCCAAUCAAUGGAUGGAUGUGUUUAACUUUUCGAUCGUUUUGGAAGUCCAAUUGCCAGAGACUAAUGGUCUCCAGGCCAUCACUAACUGGAUUGCUGCAGAAACACUGGAAAAC
rnacentral:lncRNA from 1 species